GCCAGCAGUCAUUGUCACCCUGCAACUCACAACUGGCCACCCACUGAAGCUAAAUAGGUGUGAGCCUAGUCAGUAUCUGGUUGGGAGACCUCCUGGGAAAAACUAAGGUUGCUGCUGGAA
rnacentral:rRNA from 1 species